GCGACGUUGAGCGCCGGAGGGGUGAAGUGGGAGUAGACGUGACACCAGAAUUGGAACGCAUGCAACUGGAAACCUGCUGUAAAAGAAUGAGAGACCUCAAGGAGAAUAUAUUGCCUGAAAGCUAGAAUCCUUAAUUGGAACAAUAACAAAGUAUCUCCCUGACUCUAUUUUAGUAAAAAGCGGAAGAAUGGGCCUGGAGAAACAUAACCACUCUCAAAUUCAUAGACAAAGCUGUGGAUUAACUAUUCAUGGACCUUAAGACAGAAGCCAGGCCGGGGCUGCUUCGAAGCCAAAGAGGAAACAGAAGAGAUUUAAACGUCCUCUCUCUUUUCACGUCCAGUAUUCAUCCAGUAUUCCCCUGGGCUCACACCAAAGCCUCUCUGUGUGAUUGACAAGCCAUGUUCCAACCCCUCAGAGAGAUACCUGUCAUGUCUGGCUUUUAUGCUGUAUGUACUGAAGACCGGCCACUAAAUUACCAACAGCGAUGGAGGAGGACAGUCACGUAUACAUUGACUAACAGGGAAUUUUUAAUGACACUCCAGAAUUAUCUGAGAAUGACGAAAUGUGACCUUUCAAUCCAUAGAGGGAAAUAAUAGAGGAUAAGAACGUUUUCUAAUGUAAUCUAAAACAAAAUCAUAAACAAUAAUGGUCACACAGGUGCUCUUUGGCCUCUACUGGUCCGUCUUGAGGUUUGUUUUCUCACCAGAGCAUGGGAGAAAGUUGUAGUGUGAGUGACUUUGUCUUAUAGCUGAAGGGCAGCCCAGUGCCAUGCCUAGCUACCACCUCAGCGUUUAAUUAAACUUACACCGACUCCCUGGCCUCCUGAUGCCAUCUCUGUACAUGGCAUAUGCUGUGAACAUAUUCACUUAGAUGCUCUGGGCGGAAUACAGACAUGGAAACCAGAGGUAACAGGAAUAUGAGGCAUACCUCUAUUCAAGUGACAUGAACGUUUUUCUUUAGUCAUUUAUUCUUUAAAUAAAAUAUUGUAUUUAUAGUAUCUCUUAAAAAAAUACCAUAUAAAAUAUCAUUUAUCAGAAGCAAUAUGAAGUUUGUCCCAACAAUAUAAAAUGU
rnacentral:lncRNA from 1 species